GGUUAAUAUUCCUGUACUUGUAUAUACUGCGAUUUGGGGACGAAGGACUGUAGUUACUACGUACUGACGGAAUUGUACGUUGAGCCUAAUCUUCGGAUGAAGCGAAGUAGUGAGUGUCCUUCCAAGAAAAGCCAAUAAGCUUCAGGUAUAUACAACCCGUACCCUAAACCGACACAGGUAGUCGAGGAGAGAAUCCUAAGGUGCUCGAGUGAAUCAUGGCUAAGGAACUAGGCAAAAUGGCCCUGUAACUUCGGGAGAAGGGGCGCUUCCUCUGUAAAGAGAAGCCGCAGUGAAUAGGCCCAGGCGACUGUUUAGCAAAAACACAUGGCUUUGCGAAAUCGAAAGAUAAAGUAUAAGGCCUGACACCUGCCCGGUGCUGGAAGGUUAAGAGGAGAUGUUAGCUUCGGCGAAGCAUUGAAUUGAAGCCCCAGUAAACGG
rnacentral:rRNA from 1 species